UGUGACCAAAAUGCAAGCUACAUUGGCACUGAUCGCAGUACUCCUCGUGCUCCAAAGGAGUGUAUCCGCCAAACCGAAUGAUUUUGAAAUUGUCUCUAUUCCCUUUGACGCUGCUUCUAAUGCACCUGGAUUUUCGGNGGAAGUCAUUAUAACUAAACCACUUUCCGCUCCUGAAGCUUGUACUAACGAGCUCAAUAGUUCUGUUCGGAAAGAAAUUGCCGAUGCUGAAGCAGACAUUCACCAGGCAUUGGGAAUUCAACAAAAUGUUGCUCAGGGAAAUUUUCAAAACCUAAGCCAACUAAAAAGGAACUCGUAGCAAAUAUAAAGAAAUGCUUUGCACUAAAUGCAGGCCAUAUUUGCUAUUUCUCGGCGAUGCAGCAUACAAUCCGGAAAAUUCAAGCCCUGAACCAUAAUCAUAUUCCAGUUAGCAGUGCGCAAAUAUUCGUCCGUUUAGUAAAACUCUACAGGAGUUUAGCUAAAAUAUUUGCGAAAUAUAAUGUUUGCUUAUUACAACACCCGGAAGUUACAUCCCCAAAACCAGAAAUCUCGUCAGAAUCCUCAGCUUAUUCGCUGAGCUCUGAGUCAGAACCUACAACCUCUUCGCUGAGCACGGAAGACGGAAGUAUUGAUUCCUCAGAAGCAGGAGAGACCACAGCAAACCCANGUUCUGAGUCCUCAGAGGCUGAAGAGGCCACAGCAAGCUCAUAAAUUCUUCCACAAACCUCGUCAGAGCCUCCGGCCUGUUCAGUGAGCACUGAAAGAAGAAGUUCUGNUGAAGUUAUUUCUUCCACAAAUUUUAUAAAAUACUAUUAUUUUCAAGAAUACGUGAAUUGUGGUACAUUUUCGUAAUAAAAUUANAAGAAUUGCUUUCA
rnacentral:lncRNA from 1 species